GAUGAACGCUGGCGGCGUGCCUAAUACAUGCAAGUCGAGCGAACAGACGAGGAGCUUGAUCCUCUGACGUUAGCGGCGGACGGGUGAGUAACACGUGGAUAACCUACCUAUAAGACUGGGAUAACUUCGGAAAACCGGAGCUAAUACCGGAUAAUAUAUUGAACCGCAUGGUUCAAUAGUGAAAGACGGUUUUGCUGUCACUUAUAGAUGGAUCCGCGCCGCAUUAGCUAGUUGGUAAGGUAACGGCUUACCAAGGCAACGAUGCGUAGCCGACCUGAGAGGGUGAUCGGCCACACUGGAACUGAGACACGGUCCAGACUCCUACGGGAGGCAGCAGUAGGGAAUCUUCCGCAAUGGGCGAAAGCCUGACGGAGCAACGCCGCGUGAGUGAUGAAGGUCUUCGGAUCGUAAAACUCUGUUAUUAGGGAAGAACAAAUGUGUAAGUAACUAUGCACGUCUUGACGGUACCUAAUCAGAAAGCCACGGCUAACUACGUG
rnacentral:rRNA from 1 species